UAGGGAAUCUUCGGCAAUGGACGAAAGUCUGACCGAGCAACGCCGCGUGAGUGAAGAAGGUUUUCGGAUCGUAAAACUCUGUUGUUAGAGAAGAACAAGGACGUUAGUAACUGAACGUCCCCUGACGGUAUCUAACCAGAAAGCCACGGCUAACUACGUUCCAGCAGCCGCGGUAAUACGUAGGUGGCAAGCGUUGUCCGGAUUUAUUGGGCGUAAAGCGAGCGCAGGCGGUUUCUUAAGUCUGAUGUGAAAGCCCCCGGCUCAACCGGGGAGGGUCAUUGGAAACUGGGAGACUUGAGUGCAGAAGAGGAGAGUGGAAUUCCAUGUGUAGCGGUGAAAUGCGUAGAUAUAUGGAGGAACACCAGUGGCGAAGGCGGCUCUCUGGUCUGUAACUGACGCUGAGGCUGGAAAGCGUGGGGAGCAAACAGG
rnacentral:rRNA from 1 species